GAUGCACACACAUGUUCCCCCAUAUUGUGUUAAAGUUGUUUUUUUUUUUUUAUGAAGUUAAUAUAUGGAAAGCAAGACACACUUCAAAUGGUGUCGUCACCUUGAAUUAAAUAAUUUAUCAUGGUUAUCCUUCACCUUUUAACAGCAAAAACAGAAGCUGCUGAGCCAAUUUAUGGAACCCCGCGAGAAUUCAGUCCAAGCAUAGAUCAGUGUGAGUUACAUACAUUGUGUUUGUGAUUAAACUCUGGGAAAGUUCUUUGAAAUAUAAUAAUUUUUUCCCCCCAGUAACAAAGUCUCGAGUAGCAGACCAAGGCAAAAAGUUCCGUCAGGACAAUAAAAAGAUGAGCAGCUCAGAAGGAGAUGGCCUGGACCUGUCUUUUGAGGAAGUGUUAGUCGGUCGAGUCAAUUCUAUCGAGAGAUUUGUUAUCGAGCAUCUCUCUGAUGUGAUGGAAACACACAGAGACCUCCAGGAAACAGUAAAUAGCACAACGAUGAUCAGUGACAUGGCUGCAAUGACAAGACCGAGCUCAGCGCCUUAAAAAAAAAAAAUAAUAAUAUAUAUAUAUAUAUAUCACACGUAGCAGAGCAAGGCCAAGAGAUAGAGGAGCUGAGAAAGCAGCUGGAAGGAAAGGGCAGCGGUGCUCCUGCACACUCAGGAGGCCAGAAGAGACCAGCUUCCUCGGCCGAGUGUGCUCCUGAACGGAAGCAGAGACGGUCCGAAGAGCUGGACGAGAUCCUGGAGCCAUUCUGGCCAGAGAGAUCAGAUGCACGGGAGAGGCUGACUGAAAGGCAGCAGGCCUUCUUCAACUAUAUGAUGGACGUGCUGAAAAUCAAAGAUCGGAGAAACCUGGAGACGAACGCGACGACGGUCCUCAACGAAGGGGUUUCCAGGGGCCUCUGGGAGGAGGACUGGACUCCUGCAGAAGUAAAAAAAAAAAAAAAAAAAAAAAAAGCCAAACACAAAACUAAACGUUAAGGUACUGGUUAUAUACUUAAGAAGUUGCAUUUGUUCAAAAGAUACAUAUACGAACUAUAAGUAAUAUAAAGCACUUAAAGUGAUUGAAGUAAAGCUGAUGGUUUAAAAAAAAAAAACCCACCUGAAAUAAAAGACACAUACAUGCAACUCUAAAUAGAAAAAUAAAUAAGCUGUCAUUUAUAUGCAUUCAUAAAGUCAAAAGGUAAACUAACAAUGUGGUCUAAGUUUAAGUGUUAAAAAAGUAAAUAAAUUUUGCCAUACCAAAAGUGGACGUUUCUGUAGAAUGACCCAGUUACAGCUCGGUAAGGAACCUAAACAAAGAACCACGAAACACAAGGCCUCUACAGACUUUAUUCACGUUCACGCAAUCUCACUAAUUCGAUCCAGGUUCAAUGAGUUAGGAUAAUUUGAUGUGCACGCUUAUAAUUAAGCAGCCCUUAAUGUCGAUCAUGGAUCAAAUCUAUCAACGUGGCAACCAGUUGAAUAUUUGUGGCGUCUUAAUGCAGCUGAGACAUUGUGAUUUCCUCUGUACUGACACGCCACAGGUGUAUUUUUCACCUGUAGACGUUAGAAAGUCGGGCAGAUAAAUAAAUAAAUAAAUGUUGCUGUCAGGAGUGGGCGAGGCUUAUGCAUGCGCGCUAAACAGAUGGAAUAAUUCUGAAUAAAACAUUUGUUGUUGUACAGUAAAUGUGAGUCGUGUUGAAUUUGAAUUCUACACAUAAGUGUAUUUUUAUGAUGGCAGUAACUGUAAAUCAAAU
ensembl:lncRNA